rnacentral:rRNA from 1 species
UACGUAGGGGGGCAAGCGUUGUCCGGAAUCAUUGGGCGUAAAGCGCGCGUAGGCGGCCCGGUAAGUCCGUUGUGAAAGUCAAAGGCUCAACCUUUGAACGCCGAUGGAUACUGCCGGGCUAGAGUCCGGAAGAGGCGAGUGGAAUUCCUGGUGUAGCGGUGAAAUGCGCAGAUAAUCGGGAGGAACACCAAUGGCGAAGGCGAG